rnacentral:lncRNA from 1 species
UGAGGGGGAAGGGCUACUGCCUUAGAGAAAUAAAAGUAAAGCAGAAAUAAUCUAGUGUGCUGCCUACCUAAGUUGGAAAUUCCAAGUCCUGACCCACGUUUACAUCCCAAGGGAGAUGGCUGCCAAUCAAGGGCUCAUCCACUGUUCAUCCAGGGUGAGGGACUUUGGCUUUCCUGAAAAAGUGGUUGACACCAGCCUAAGCGCCAGCGUUCGCCGGUGAGGGGGCUCCGUGGAGAGGGGGGCGGAGUCCCGCGCCGAACGCCGGAAUCCAAAGUAAACACCUCGCCAAACCUACGUUUAGAAAGUGAUACCGAACACCACAUUCACGUUUUAAAAAAAAAUACUGUUUGCUAAGAAGAUGAGAGCAAAACAUUUCCCAGCUGGAAAAUUACUGAUCACAAACCAAGGGGAGAGUGGGGGUGGGGGAGGCAGCGUUAUAAGAUUGAAGUAAAGAUCGCCGUUUCCUAUUCCCUUCCCGGUGGGCAAGGACGCCUGCGGCGGGCUCGGUGUGCACUUUUUGAGAGCUAGGAUCCCACCGCAUCGCUCCACUUCCUGGCACAUGGUCACUUCCCAGGGAAGUCCCUUUAGGGGGGCCUGACCUACCCGGAGCCUGAGCCGAA